CCUUUAAAGAAAGCGUAAUAGCUCACUGGUCUAGUGAUUUUGCGCGGAAAAUAUAACGGGGCUAAAGUAAGUACCGAAGUUGUAGACUUAGUUUACUAAGUGGUAGGAGAGCGUUCUAUUUGCGUCGAAGGUAUACCGGUAAGGAGUGCUGGAGCGAAUAGAAGUGAGCAUGCAGGCAUGAGUAGCGAUAAUUAAUGUGAGAAUCAUUAACGCCGUAAACCCAAGGUUUCCUACGCGAUGCUCGUCAUCGUAGAGUUAGUCGGGUCCUAAGUCGAGUCCGAAAGGGGUAGACG
rnacentral:rRNA from 1 species